AUAUUGGACUCCAACUUCAAUCUUCUGCAUCAAAUGUCGGCAUGUGUACUGUUUGUUAAAUUGCUUCUUUUUGUUUGUUCUUUUCUUGAGGUCCUGUUUACAUCAGGGAAAGAUCUGCAGAUUACAGCAGGAGUCAACCACAGCUUUCCCAAAAGCUCUCAUCUGACUCCAGUCCAACUUGAUGGCAUCCAUUUUCAGAAAGCAGAUGCUGCCCUCUUUUACACUGGUGCAAUUCUGGAAUAACUCCACUGACGUCAGUGAAGUGACUCCAAAUUUAUCCCCGGCAAAAAAGCAGAAUUGGACCACAGUCUCUUUGUCUGCCUCUCUGCUCUGGAGCUCCAGGGGACAUGUGCCACUGCCACGCCAUAAGCAGUGUAGUGGUAGGCAUUGGUAGCUCCAGUGUCAGCUCCAAUACUUCCUUGAAUUCAGUUGUGUGAUACUCAGAUGCUCCAGAAGAGAUGGAAUGACAGCCCAAACCUCAUGGAUACUCCAGCUUGUAUUCCCAGUGACAGAAGGGAUGUUCCAGUGCUUUGGCUACGGCUGAGCCAAGCCAGUUGUUCUUUUCUGCAGCUACAACACUUGCCCAGGCUGGAAUUCUGGAUGCUGCAAGGCUGUCAUGUCAGGACGCUGCAGAAGAGGUUGUUGCAUCUUCUUUCUGUAAAGCUGUGGAGUUUCUCUCUGUGCAGGGGGUACAACCUUUAUGGUCAGGAAACUGUUUUCCUUGCUCUGUGGUUUUCUUCUUGCUGUUGCUUUUAAAGGAGCCAACACUCUUAGUUCCAGGAAACUGAAACUAAAUGUGAACAGGGACUGGAGGAAGGAAGCAGAGGGAAUCCCCUACAAGAUUCCAAAGAGUCAUACUUCUGGGAAAACUAAAUAAAGCAAGAUUCAACUGCCAGUGGCUAAACAGCUGCAAUUUAUGAGCUGUUCCUGAAAAGCCCCAGACAAGCACUGUGGGAAGCUGGAGAUUGACACAGGACACCUCCAGAAGAGUCUGCUGUUGAAACUUCCUUUAAGCCUUUUUUUAGAGUGGAGCAUCCAGACCUGGCAAAUGCAGAAGGUCAACCCUUAAAAGAGCAAAGAGUUCUCUCCAAGAAAAUCAAACAAGUGGCCGAAGUCUGUCCAUUUGUCUGCCUGUCUUUUUGGCUUUGGAUUACUGUGCUUUUCAAAGCUGUGCUUUCAUAACUCGGAUGAAAAAGUAGAUGUUUCGUGUGGCUCUACAAGUCGUAAUCAUCCUGUUCAUGCAAAAUAUCUGCUACCUGAGGGAUGGGCCCAAACCAGAGGUGUUUCUCAUUUACCUACAAAGCAUCUGGCUUCAGCAUCUGUACAGUCAGUUUUUGUGAACAUGUGAGUCCAUUGCCUGCUGUAACGGAGUUAGUGACUUAUUUUCAGUGGUCGUAGAGAGUUUCACUGAAAUAGCACUGUCUGUAGUCCAUUGUGUGACUUAGGAGACACAAUAACCAGACAAUUCUGCAAUUGUAAUAUAAUUGUUCCCAGAAAAUGCUCUGAAGUCUUCUCCCGUUGCACCAUUGUGAUAAAAACCUCUGCUGCUUUUCAAGCUCUACAAGUCCAUCUGUGCCGUGCUGAAAGUGAAAGAAAACCCAAUUAGCUCUGAAAAAGCAAAGGGCAGGGAGAGAUGCUCUGGCCCGGAAUUCCCUCCCUUUGGCAGCAGCCAAGGUCAGCCAAAUUUCCGUGACCACACGUGGAUCCAGCCUGUGUGUGUUGCCAGCUCUCUGCACAGGAGAGUGGGAAGGGGGGUAAGAAGAAUUGAUUCUGGAAGGGGAGAGCCUGAGAGGAAGAGUGGAGUUAAAUGUGGCAGCUGGGAUUUUCAGAAGGUAGUUUGGGCAUCCAGCUUCCUGAGAACUCUUUAUCAGUAACACCCUCUAUGUCCUCCUGAGUGACUUUUAGCCUGUCUGGCAGUUUUCAGCGUCAGUGUGUGUGUGAGGGAAAAGAGGUGGGAGGCAGCUCUCUCUGAUUUGGCAGCUGUGGGACUGCAGACUCCUUGUGGCUGCUGGCUGAGGGUGUGGAUCCCUGGGGAGCUUCCUGAUCCCCUGGGACUCCUACAGGCCUGUAGGACUGGGCUUAGAGAAACCCUGAGCUGCCAGACGGAGGCUGCUUCUGGUGCAGCUCUUCUGAGUAGUCCUGGCCGUGGAUGUGAGCCUGCAGUCCUUGGGAGGCAAAACACACUCCACAAUCCCAAGGGAUCUGCUCUGUCUCUCAGUGCAGGCCAGCUGGGGGAAUCCCUUUCUCCUGAUCUGUGUGUGAAGGCCACAUGGCUGACCAUGAAUGACCAGAGCUGCCAUGGACCCUUCUUGCAAGGGCCGUCAUCUUCAGAGUCAGCAUAGGUGCUGGCUAGCUUUGGAAAAGUGUGAAUAUCCUGGGGAAAUCUGUGGAGCAGAAACCUUGGGCCAUUCUGUGUGCUCACACCAUCAGCAGGGCUGAUACUGACAGGGGUGCUUUGCUUUUGGUGUGAAACCUUGCUCUGAUGCAUCAUUCCAAGGAAAACAGCUGGAAUUUUGCAGGCCAGAUCAUGUGGUGAGAUAAGUAAUUCCAGCUCCCUCAGUGGAGUUGAUUUAUACAGGACAGGUCCAACAUUUCUGAGAAAUUGUUGAUGGUGGGGACUUUUGUUGUUUGUUUGUUUCACUGAAAACUUGAAGCCUUUCAAAUAAAGAACGUGAGGUACAGGGAAUUUCUAGCUGGCGUAUGUGCUUCAGGAUGUUUGCUGCCUUCAGGCUUUGAGAACACAAAUUCUCUGCAGACAGUCUCACACACAGUGGGAGAUGAGGUUAUUGGGCUUGGAAAUGCACCAGGGGGGUGGGACUCGAGUGAGCUUUGAAGAGCAAUCAUUGUCAUUAGUGGUGGUGCCAUAAUAUGUGCUUGACUCAAAUCCAGCGUUGCACAGGUGAGAACCUGAUGAAACCUUGUAACUCGAUAUUUGUGGUUGUUCCUGCCAGUGUGAUCCACUGUUGAAUAGGCUAGA
ensembl:lncRNA